AGAGGGAUUCUGGGCAACUGUUCGGACUGCUAGAAAUAGCAGCCAAAUCUCCCUCAAAUUGCUACGAUAGUUUUAAAUAAAGCGGAUUCAUUGAUCAAUAUAGUGCAUACUUAUAAAUGAAUAAAUAAAUAAAAGGGGUUGUGCACGUUUGGAAUGCUUUUGAUCAUGAAUCUCGAUCAGGAUUAACCAAUGGCAACAACUGAUAUUUAUGAUGGAAGAAAAGAACGGAGAAAUCAAGAAGGCAUAAGACCUUUGAAGGUGACGAAGUCGCAGAAUCGUUUGCACGUUGGACAAAAUGUUUAGGGUAAUUUCUUCUGGCUCUUUACAUUCUGAAUUCAGAAUCCUGCUGAGGUGAAUCUUGCUUUCAUCUGUUUGGGGUCAAUAAAAUAAAGUACCAAUCAUGUUCUACUGGGGUUGAUGCAGGGCCAGAUUAAGACCAAUAGGGGCUUAAGCACUUAAAAGAUUUUGGUAUCCCCCCACAUAUAUGUAAUUCAAAGAAUAAACCAUAAAAUAAA